rnacentral:lncRNA from 1 species
AAAAUUAGAAUUAUUUUGUGCAUAAGGUCUAAAUUGAUUAUUGCUAAAAUUAUUUGGGGCUCUAGCGUUAAAAUUUGAUUUGAACGCGGUUGGAAAAGAAUUAUUUGUUUUUGGUUUUUCCGUUUUUUGUUGGGAUUUUAAGAAAUUCAUAUAAGAUACUUGAUUUUUAUGAUUGUCUAAAGCUAUACAUUUUUGUAGGGCCUCGUCUAACGAAUCUAACUGAAAGUGCGACAGGUGUUCGCAGUAAGGAUUGUUAAGACCAGUACAAAAGGUUUUUAGUGCUAAUUUUCUAAAGUAAGGGGUUUUAAAAUUUAAAUUUUCUGGAGUAUUAUGUAGCGAUAUAUGCUGUAAUAAAUCGUUUAAAUUAUC